UCUCGGCUCUCGCAUCGAUGAAGAACGUGUGAAUUGAAGAAUCCCGUGAACCAUCGAGCUUUGAACGUAAGUGCGCCGGAAGCCAUUAGGCCGAGGGCACGUCUACCUAAGCGUCA
rnacentral:rRNA from 1 species